rnacentral:rRNA from 1 species
GACGUAGGGGGCGAGCGUUGUCCGGAUUUAUUGGGCGUAAAGCGUGCGUAGGCGGCUGCGCAAGUCGGGUGUGAAACCCCGGGGCUCAACCCCGGAACUGCAUCCGAUACUGGUAAGCUCGAGUCCGGGAGAGGUGAGUGGAACUGCGAGUGUAGAGGUGAAAUUCGUAGAUAUUCGCAAGAACACCAGUGGCGAAGGCGGCUCACUGGCCCGGUACUGACGCUGAGGUGCGAAAGCGUGGGGAGCAAACAGG